GAUGAAGAACGUAGCGAAAUGCGAUAAGUAAUGAAUUGCAGAAUUCAGUGAAUCAUCGAAUCUUUGAACGCACAUUGCGCCCGCCAGUAUUCUGGCGGGCAUGCCUGUUCGAGCGUCAUUUCAACCAUCAAGCCCCCGGCUUGUGUUGGGGACCUGCGGCUGCCGCAGGCCCUGAAAACCAGUGGCGGGCUCGCUAGUCACUCCGAGCGUAGUAAUACAUCUCGCUCAGGGCGUGCUGCGGGUUCCGGCCGUUAAAAAGCCUUAUUUACCCAAGGUUGACCUCGGAUCAGGUAGGAAGACCCGCUGAACUUAAGCAUAUCAAUAAGCGGAGGA
rnacentral:misc_RNA from 1 species